rnacentral:rRNA from 1 species
AGCCACCGCGGUAAUUCCAGCUCCAAUAGCGUAUAUUAAAGUUGUUGCAGUUAAAAAGCUCGUAGUUGAAUUUCGGGGUUAGUAGGUUGGUCAUGCCUCUGGUAUGUACUGGUCUCACUGAUUCCUCCUUCCUGAUGAGCCGUAAUGCCAUUAAUUUGGUGUUGCAGGGAAUCAGGACUGUUACUUUGAAAAAAUUAGAGUGUUUAAAGCAAGCUAACGCUUGAAUACAUUAGCAUGGAAUAAUGAAAUAGGACGUUCGACCUAUUUUGUUGGUUUCUAGGAUUGACGUAAUGAUUAAUAGGGAUAGUUGGGGGCAUUAGUAUUCAAUUGUCAGAGGUGAAAUUCUUGGAUUUAUUGAAGACUAACUACUGCGAAAGCAUUUGCCAAGGAUGUUUUCAUUAAUCAAGAACGAAAGUUAGGGGAUCGAAGACGAUCAGAUACCGUACGUAGUCUUAACCAUAAACUAUGCCGACUAGGGAUCGGAUGAUGUUAAUUUUUUAAUGACUCA